rnacentral:miRNA from 15 species
UUUCCAGGAAUGGGGGAUAGC